rnacentral:snRNA from 1 species
UCAGCAUCUCAGCCUUUUGGCUAUGAUCAAGCAUUUUUGGCACCAAGGGGAGGGUGUCAGGGCUGGCUCUGUUCCUCCCAGUGCCAGCCUGAUAUUAUAGGACCUCCAACUGUUUUUGGUUGGUUUGUUUAGGAAAAAAAAAGUUCCUAUUAGCAUUUUUGGCACAAAGGAGGGUGUCAGAGCUUGCUUUGGCCUUUCCCAGUGCUGGCCUGGUAUUGUAGUACCUCCAGGCCUGGUGCUCAUUGC